AAGACAAAUAGAAAAUUCACACAAGGCUACGACACUUGUGUCUAACGCUCAUGUCGCACCAUAAUAGUAUUUUACCUCAUUAUGGUGGAAAAGACGGUGUAUAAAUAUAUACGCGCAUAUCCCCUAUAUAAAUUAUUAUAUUUAUAUAGGGUUACGAAGAUUGAGUCUAACGCUCACGUCGCACCAUAAUAGAAUUUUUACCUCAGUAUGGUGGAAAAGCACAUAUAGCUAGCUAGCAUUCCUUCAUAUACAUAUUAUUCUCAUAAUCAUCCAAAUAUGGAUAUAUAUAUAUAUAUAUACUCACCGAAAUUCUCAAUUUCGGUUAUUCGCCAACAAUAAUGAAAAUUGCCAAUUAUCAAAAAAAGUAAUAUGCACACGACUCCACCGAAAAUCUCAUUUUCGGUAACUUUCCAAAUAACACGAUAGCCAUUAAAAAUGAGAACAUUUACUUCUGAAAAUGACUUCGCGAAAAUAAACAAUUCCACAAAUUGAUAUUCAAUAAAAUCAAUCAUUCAAUAUAGAAUCACCGCAUGCAUAUAUUUUAAAACAAAAGUCCACUCACAACUUUAGGCCUAAGCCUGACGUCAAUCCGAGGCCUCUUCCACUCGAGCUUUCUCACGUCCUGAUCCAAACAUAUAAGUAAUUUCCCAACUAAAAAUCCAAUAUUUACACAAAAUAGGCAAAAUUAACCGAGAGCUAUAAACACGCUCAUCAUUGCCUAACUUCAAUAUUCUUAAAUCGAAACGACCCAAACUUUAAUACCACACUCGGCAGCCGUAAUUACAACCUCCCCAAAACAACAACUUAAAUCCUACGACCGGAAUCUACAUUAUUUAACCGCCAAAAAUACUAAACUUCGGAAAUUCCCAAACCUAUCCAAAACUCAUCCAAAAAUUCCAUAACUCACAUCAAUAAACUCCCCUUAAUAUUCCACGCUUAAAACUAUACAAAACUCCCGAACAGCGGCUACGCCGACGGCGGCUCCACCGGCAGCGGCGGCCGGAGGCCGAUUCCGGCAACCUCCAAUGCCUAAGAAAAUUUGAUAGAAUAAUCUCCUCAUCAUGCUCUACAACUUUCCUAACUAGCACAACACCCAAUUCCAAGCCUAACUAGGCCAGUCGAAUGAAAACACAUUAGAAAACCCUAGAGCUUCCACUCACCGGUUCUCCUUACCUAGACCACGAGAGGGCGAGCUCUUUGGAGGGAUUGCUGCACGGGAGGAGAGCUUCACAAUGACCCAAGACUCGCUAGCUAUGGCGGCCGGAGAAGGGAGCUCCGGCGAGAGGACAACCGGCUUUCAAGGAGGACUUCCUCCGUUCGGCGGGGUUGCAGCGCCGCUCACCAGCCCAGGAAGGCGGCGAGGAGGACGACGGACCGUGCUGGAGUGGUGCGGCGUCCCUGCUUGGCCGGACGGUGGCGACAGGCGCUAGUCUUCCGGCAAAGUGAGAGAGAGCUCGGGAGAAGAAGAACCGGGGAAAGAAAAGAGAGAAGGAGAAAAAGAGGAGAAGAAGAGAAGAAAAAGAGAGGAGAAAAUGGGGUUUGGGCCUCACACCAACCCGACCCAACACCACAAUUAAACCCAACUCCACCAUUCAAACACCCCAAAAAUAAAUACCCUAAUCAACAUUACCUUUUACUAGCUAAAAUUUACCAUUUUUACCGUCGUCAUAUUUUUCUCCUACGAAUAAUCCUCCGAAAAUAACCGUCCCCAAAACCCCUCUAGGGACCAAUUAAACUAUAACCUCAAUGACGGAGACGGUAAAAUUCUUAUUAUAAUUAAGCUAGUAAAUAAGGUAAAUAUUUUAGGGUCGGGAUGUGACAGAAAGGCUUUAGCCGACGAAAAUAAAAAAACCAGGCCGACAAAUAUUUCCUUCGUCGGCUAAUUUAAAUUUUUGUCAGUUAUGGUCAACUGUAGCCGACGAAAAAAAAAUUUCGUCGGCUAAAGAAAUUUUUUCGUCGGCUAUACUAUACUUUAGCC
rnacentral:lncRNA from 1 species